rnacentral:tRNA from 1 species
AAGAUUUUAAGUUAAUUAAACUAAUAACCUUCAAAGUUAUAAAUAUAGAAGAUUCUUUAAAUCUUA